UACAGAGGUGGCAAGCGUUGUUCGGAAUUACUGGGCGUAAAGGGCGCGUAGGCGGUUUCGUAAGUCCUGUGUGAAAUCCCCCGGCUCAACUGGGGAACUGCACAGGAAACUGCGAGGCUUGAGUUCGGGAGAGGGAAGCGGAAUUCCGGGUGUAGCGGUGAAAUGCGUAGAUAUCCGGAGGAACACCGGUGGCGAAGGCGGCUUCCUGGACCGACACUGACGCUGAUGAGCGAAAGCCAGGGGAGCAAACGG
rnacentral:rRNA from 1 species